CAGGCAGUCAGAGCCACACCCCCAACGCCCUCAUGCUCACCAUGUCCAGCUUGCCCUUCUUGUGCAGGGCACUGGAUAUUGCCACCGAGGUUGCGUCGGUAGAGGAUCCGGGUCACUGUGAGCCCAAAGUAGGCGCCAAAUGUGUGGAUGGUCAUGGAGCCUCCUGCAUCCUUCACCUGGGGUGCAAGGGGCCUGUCAGACUCUGGCACCUUCUCUCCCUCCCUCCUCAUUGCCGUCCCUGUCUUGCCACACACACACACGCCCAGAGCUCCAGCCUUCUCGGACUCUUCAGGGUGCAGGAUGGAGCCUGGGGCCUUCACGGACCAAUCAACUGGUAAUGGGGAGAAGGUAGGGAUUCCCAUCAGCAAAAUGCCAGGGUGUCCUCACCCAGCAGAUUUGGUUGUUCCCAGAUGGGGAAACCCAGGCCUGGAGACAGACUUGCUCAUACUGCUGGAGGAGGUAAGGCAGAGGCAGAACUGAGGGAAACAACCUACCUGCUUUGUCACCCACUGGUUUCCACCUCUGUGCCUCUCAUUUGACAAGCUCUGCAUUUACACCACCUGCUAGUGCCUUAGCAGGGCUGUUGUCAGGAUUCAUGCAGGCAACUUGCCCCUGGCGAGGGCCUGGCACUUAACAGGUGCCAGAUUGAUGUUUGUCCCCCUCACACUCA
rnacentral:lncRNA from 1 species